GUGGGGAAUAUUGGGCAAUGGGCGAAAGCCUGACCCAGCAACGCCGCGUGAAGGAAGAAGGUCUUCGGAUCGUAAACUUCUAUCCUUGGUGAAGAUAAUGACGGUAGCCGAGAAGGAAGCCCCGGCUAACUACGUGCCAGCAGCCGCGGUAAUACGUAGGGGGCAAGCGUUGUCCGGAAUGAUUGGGCGUAAAGGGCGCGUAGGCGGCCUGGUAAGUCUGGAGUGAAAGUCCUGCUUUUAAGGUGGGAAUUGCUUUGGAUACUGUCGGGCUUGAGUGCAGGAGAUGUAAGUGGAAUUCCCGGUGUAGCGGUGAAAUGCGUAGAGAUCGGGAGGAACACCAGUGGCGAAGGCGACUUACUGGACUGUAACUGACGCUGAGGCGCGAAAGUGUGGGGAGCAAACAGGAUUAGAUACCCUGGUAGUCC
rnacentral:rRNA from 1 species